CUUGCAGGUCCAAGCAGUACAUUUACAAAUUGUGCUUUUUCCAAUAUAUUUAGGUGAUUUGGUUAGCUAAUCCAAUAAAAAGUUAGGAUGUUCAUCUGUUAAAAUAUUUAACGUUAGAGUAAAAUUUCCACUAUAUAAAAAUAUAUCCGCGUCUCCGACUUUUAUUUCAAAAGUAUUGAUGUUAAUUAGGUCAUUGUUAAAGAAUUCUGAUGCAGUAACAUCCAUUUUUAGUCUGCUGGAGGAGAUAAUUCCAUAGACGUGGACUAUUUCACGUUUUCCUCGAGCAUAGCUGGAUAUCUGAAAUCCGCAUCUCUUGUUAUCAGUCAUGCAGGUUACUCGACUUCUCGCCAAUUUUAUUGUUCUUUCCCGUGUUUUGUACCAUUUGCUUUUCCUGCACUUUUCACCCAACAAUCUACAUGACCUCAGCUUUUCCUUUUCCAUUCAGUGGCAGAGCCAGGAACUAAGUUUAGUGGGGGCAGAAAUUAACUACUACAAAUUUUUCUUUUUCAAACCAAAAAAUACAUGAUUUUCUAAAAUAAUGAUUUUUAAUUUUAAAUUUUUUUGCCAUAUUGGCCCCCACCUCCUCCUGCCAUUGUAUAUAUUUGGACCGAGCUACAUAGCCCGCGUGGGUGACCGCAUGUUUGACAUAAUACACACAUAUGGAGGGUCGGGAUUAUUUUAUUCAUGGGGGACUCACGUCGGCCAUUUGAGAAUGCAGUCACCUGGAGUGUCAACGGUCUGGGUCGUUCGGCUUUUUCCUAUAUAUUUAGUGCCUGUUCCCUUUGUGUCAGUCUGAUAUAAAUCUAUUAGUGCACGAUUGUGAGAGAAUAAAUGUUCUUAAGUUCAUAUAUUGGACAAGAGUUGGAGAGGCAGGUCGGCAAUUCAGCUGUCUUAAAAGCAGCUUAAGUUCACUUUUAAGGAAUUUUUCCUUUCUAAAUAUGUCUUGGUAUGUUGGUUUUUAUUUACAUACAAGUAAAAAGGUUACUUAUUUGACCCUGAGGCGCGAUUUACUUCCGAAUAACUAAAUAAGUAAAUGAUUUCCAACUUUGACCAACAAAGAAGUAUGUUUUAGAACAUAAUUACUUAUAAGAAAAAUUUAAAGCUUAUGCAAACUCCACAGUCAAGUUGAAACCAGGACUGUCUUAACUCUCCCAAAAGAAGAUCACCACGGAAAACUGGAAGAAAUCCCAUAUUAAUUACCAUCAUCUAGGAUGUAGGUGGUUGGAACUCUUUAAUAUUUAUAUAUUAAUUGUAUAAAACACCACCACUCUUUGAAAUAAACUAGGGUAAUGGCUUGGCGUCUGUUUAUUUUCAUGUAAAAAAGAACGUUGGAUGAGAUUUUAAUUUCAAUGACAGGACACGACACGAUAUGACACUUCUUCACUUCAUGAUUAUGUAAUAAAUCUAUUUAUCUUGUGACUUGUCUUCUUGUGAUCAUCAUGUAAAUUCAGCAAAACAGAAAAGGAACUAUGCAAAAUGGAUUUACAAAGUUCAUAGAGUAACACACAUUGCCAUGACAUUACCAACAUCAUUUCGUAUUUUGUUGUAGAGAGCAUCCCGAAGACAGGCUUAACUGAUUAGAUUUAUCUGGUGGUGCAGGUUCGGGGAGUAUAUUUGAGACAUUGCGGCUCGAGAAACCCCUGAUUGUGGUAGUUAAUGAGGAUUUGAUGGAUAAUCAUCAAAGUGAGCUUGCAGAAGAACUGGCAGAGGGAAAUCAUUUGUUGUGUGCUCGUCCUCAAACGCUCUAUUGGACGAUAUAAAAAAUGGAUACUGAAUCUCUUAUAGCAUACCAACCAGGGGAUGCAACCCCAGUUGCUAAAUUCAUUAACAAGUUUUUAGGUUUUCCUGAUGAUUGAUGAUGAAUACCAAGAAAUUUAGAGGCUAUUGUUUAAGAUAGAAAAUACGAUUCUGCUACAAAAUUGCAGUAUAUAUUAUACCAUUAUCAAGCAGCUAUACUUCUAUUAAUAGAUUGUUGAUUUGUUUUUGUGGAGAA
rnacentral:lncRNA from 1 species